ACAGAGAUUGUACAUUAAAGAUGUGAUUAGUUAUAGUUCUAUAUUUGAUCUAAAGGUAUGUAGCAAGAAAUGAUGAAGAAAUGGAAGAAAUUACUAUUAAAAGGUCUAUAGGUAGCAACAGGAGUAGACAGCAUGCUAGGAGGGAACAUAUAAUUAGAGUAGAAAGAACUAGGAGAAUAUCAUACACGUGGAAUAGUGUGAAAUGUUAUUGAAUUGGAAUAAUGAAUUACAGUGUGCGAAUAAUUUUAAAUUUAUAAGGUUUGGCGAGAAAGAUUUAAAGAAAGUAUUAGAGCUAAGAAAAAGAAUGAAAAUAAGCCAUAUUAGACUAUCCAAAUCUCUAUUAGCUAUGCCUGUAAACAAGAAGAAUUUAUUCAAUUGAUUUAGAUGAAAAUAGUGUAAUGGAAAUAGAAUAAAUUCUGUAGAUAUGUC